GGCUAUGAGACGAGAAUUGAGAAUUGAGAAUUAGAAACCCUCCUAAAACCUCCAAUUAUUCUGAAGAAACUUUCCUUUUCCCUCUCAUUACCGAUGCUAUUGAUAAACACAUAUUCAUCACUACCCACAUAUUCCUUCUCCUCCAAUGCGCCAUCACCUUCAACUCUUGCAGUUGCUACCUUGGGAUUCUUCAGCACCACCGCCACACCUUCUAAGUUCCUCCGCAAAACAACAAGCCAUAGUCACAUCCCAAGUUUCGGUUUUCCCGCUGCCAGGAACACCCCUUUUUCCCGUUAUGCUUCGACCAUCAGAGCCAAAGCUGGAACCACCGAUUACUAUUCCGUCUUGAAUGUUAGCCGCAAUGCUACUCUUCAAGAAAUCAAGGCCUCCUAUAGGAAGCUAGCUCGCAAGUACCAUCCAGACAAACGUCCUGGGGCAGAGGAGAAGUUCAAGGAAAUAAGUGCUGCAUAUGAGGUCCUAUCGGAUGAUGAGAAAAGAUCUUUAUAUGACCGCUUUGGUGAGUCAGGUCUACAAGGAGAAAAUGGAGGGUCAGCCAGUGCUUCUGGGGUUGAUCCGUUUGAUUUAUUUGAUGCAUUCUUUGGCCGCACUGAUGGAAAUGGAAUGUUUGGAGAAAGUGAUGAAGGGGGCAUGAACUUCAGUUUUAGAAGCAAUAGAAGCCGUGGCCUUGAUAUUCGGCAUGACCUUUAUUUGAGCUUUGAAGAAUCAAUUUUUGGAGUACGGAGGGAGAUUGAAGUUUCUUGUUUUGAGCCAUGUAAUGAUUGUGAUGGUACAGGAGCUAAAUCAAGGAAUUGCAUUAAAAUAUGUACAAAUUGUGAUGGCAGAGGAGGAGAAAUGAAAAGUCAGAAAACACCCUUUGGAAUCAUGUCUCAGGUUUCUACCUGCUCUAAGUGUGGUGGUAUUGGCAAGAUAAUCACUGAUCAUUGUCGAAGGUGUGAAGGCAGUGGUCAGGUAAAAUCUAAACGAACAAUGGAAGUGGUCAUUCCUCCUGGUGCCAGUGAUGGAGACACAACACAAAUUCGAGGGGAAGGGAAUUUUGAUUCAAGGAGGCGUAUAAGCGGGGAUCUUUUUGUGGUUCUCCAUGUAGAUGAAAAGCAGGGUAUUUGGAGAGAGGGUCUUCAUUUGUACUCAAAGAUUAAUAUUGACUUUACAGAUGCAAUACUGGGAUCUGUUAAAAAGGUAGAAACUGUUGAAGGCUUAAGGGAUCUCCAGAUUCCAUCUGGGGUUCAGCCUGGAGACUCAGUAAAGUUGUCACGUUUAGGAGUUCCAGACAUGAAUAGACCAUCUUUUCGAGGCGAUCAUUACUUCAUUGUGAAUGUUCUGAUUCCUAAAAAUAUCAGUGCUACCGAACGCGUGCUUGUUGAACAGUUAGCCUCACUAAGAGCAUCUAAAUAUGAUUCAUUGUCUUCUAAGGACACUGGGAUAUCCCAAGGAAAAUUCAAAGAAUUCAAUACGGAUCCAAAAUAUCAAGAUUCAAGCAAGCGAACUAAACAUGUUGGUUCACUGUGGACAUCAAUUCAGAAUUUCUUAAGGAGAGGACAGUCUGAAGAGAAGUUUGCAUCAAUUAGCUUGGAUACAUCGACGUCAUAUUGUAGAUUCAGCCACCAAAAUUAUUCAGUCCUAGAUUCCUUUGUUGUUUUCUUAAUAAUUUGUUUUUUAGCAUCCAUUGCAAACUCUAAGUAUUCAUUAUUUAGGAAAAGAACCCAGUCCCUCAUAAGAGAGCAGAGUGAGAACAAUUGAGGAGGUGCUUGUUAAGAAAACUAGGAAAUAAGAAGGGAAGUGAAAAUACUUUGAUUUUCCUUCCAUGAUGCUUCGUAGAGAAUGUGGAAGUGGGUGAGAAAUCAGUUUCAGCUUAUUGUCAUGCUACUAGAGAUCAAAACUGUCGGAGUAGAGCGAGAGGAAGUCGCGCUCCGCAUUCAAACAUGCCGAGUUUUUGUAUACAAAGCAACUUGUGAUAUGACAUGCAUAAACUUGCUACAAGACUACAAAUUUGUCAUGUGACUCAGCAGAGUCUUUAUUGAUAGAAAAUACUGUGGCAGUGAGAUAUUAUGACUAUGGUGUAGAAGUUGGAGAAUCUGAAAUAAAGUUAAAGUAUUAUGUAUACAAUCUGGCACACAGUGUCAUGCAUUUAUUUGCCUAUAGUAUGCAAGGUGUGGGACACAAAUCAUGACUAUCUAAUAUUGGUUUGGCCAUGUCCUAAGCUUACAUGUGAAUUUGUCUGCACAAAAGUUGUUGCAUUGCUAGAUGAAAGUGAUGAGAUAAUUUAGUAUCAAUUGAAAUGUACUCUUCAUAUGGAACUUGUCAUUAUAGGAUUAACACAAACAUUUCUCUUUGAAAGGAAUCAAGGCUUAGAAAAAUUGCUUUUAGCCUCAAACCCCACUUGUGGACUCAAAAGCUAUGCCAUUUCAAUUUCAUGCAAUUUGCUAUCUUUUGAAUUUGGAAUGAGUACAAGCGACCAAACAGGCAUUUAGGAUAUUAAAUAGACUUCAAUAUUUUAUACUUGUGUCACUUUGGACUCGUUAAAAAAAAAGAGACACAAUUUAGCAUUUGCAGUUCUAAAAAGUAACUCAAAGCAGUCCCCAGGAUGAGGUUGUUGCUUGUUAGAACUAGGAACCAAUUUGAGUCACUAAAAUGACUCCUUUGACUGGUUCACUUUCCUGUAACUUGAGAGAAUGAAUUGUUAAUGUCUUAAUUCUAUUGAUUGGAAUGAACUGCAUUUACGAUUUCAAAGAUCAAAAUAUUCGAUGUUUUAUUCAAAUGCAUAUCAUAUCAACCAGGGUUUGUUUCGUGUGCAUCCUGGACAGAUAUUUUUGCGGUGUUACAUUACAUAGUGCCCUCAGAAUUCAUUAGUGAUACCUAUUGAAUUGAAAACUUUAAACCGCUUUGGACCUUCAAUAAUACAGAUGCGAGUCAACUUCACAAGUCCCAGCAUUUUUUAAGGUGGCAUA